rnacentral:rRNA from 17 species
CAACUUUCAGCAAUGGAUCUCUUGGCUCUCGCAUCGAUGAAGAACGCAGCGAAACGCGAUAUGUAAUGUGAAUUGCAGAUCUACAGUGAAUCAUCGAAUCUUUGAACGCACCUUGCGCUCCUUGGUAUUCCGAGGAGCAUGCCUGUUUGAGUGUCAGUA